AUGAUCCGGUGCUUGCACCGGGGAUUAGUGGCGAACGGGUGAGUAACACGUGAGUAACCUGCCCUUAACUCUGGGAUAAGCCUGGGAAACUGGGUCUAAUACCGGAUAUGACUCCUCAUCGCAUGGUGGGGGGUGGAAAGCUUUAUUGUGGUUUUGGAUGGACUCGCGGCCUAUCAGCUUGUUGGUGAGGUAAUGGCUUACCAAGGCGACGACGGGUAGCCGGCCUGAGAGGGUGACCGGCCACACUGGGACUGAGACACGGCCCAGACUCCUACGGGAGGCAGCAGUGGGGAAUAUUGCACAAUGGGCGCAAGCCUGAUGCAGCGACGCCGCGUGAGGGAUGACGGCCUUCGGGUUGUAAACCUCUUUCAGUAGGGAAGAAGCGAAAGUGACGGUACCUGCAGAAGAAGCGCCGGCUAACUACGUGCCAGCAGCCGCGGUAAUACGUAGGGCGCAAGCGUUAUCCGGAAUUAUUGGGCGUAAAGAGCUCGUAGGCGGUUUGUCGCGUCUGCCGUGAAAGUCCGGGGCUCAACUCCGGAUCUGCGGUGGGUACGGGCAGACUAGAGUGAUGUAGGGGAGACUGGAAUUCCUGGUGUAGCGGUGAAAUGCGCAGAUAUCAGGAGGAACACCGAUGGCGAAGGCAGGUCUCUGGGCAUUAACUGACGCUGAGGAGCGAAAGCAUGGGGAGCGAACAGGAUUAGAUACCCUGGUAGUCCAUGCCGUAAACGUUGGGCACUAGGUGUGGGGGACAUUCCACGUUUUCCGCGCCGU
rnacentral:rRNA from 1 species